rnacentral:rRNA from 1 species
GAUGAACGCUGGCGGCGUGCCUAAUACAUGCAAGUCGAGCGAACGGACGAGAAGCUUGCUUCUCUGAUGUUAGCGGCGGACGGGUGAGUAACACGUGGAUAACCUACCUAUAAGACUGGGAUAACUUCGGGAAACCGGAGCUAAUACCGGAUAAUAUUUUGAACCGCAUGGUUCAAAAGUGAAAGACGGUCUUGCUGUCACUUAUAGAUGGAUCCGCGCUGCAUUAGCUAGUUGGUAAGGUAACGGCUUACCAAGGCAACGAUGCAUAGCCGACCUGAGAGGAUGAUCGACACCACUGGAACUAGCACACGGCCCAAAACCAUAAGGAAGGCACCAGUAGGAAGUCUCCCGCAAUGGGCGAAAGCCUGACGGAGAAACGCCGCGUGGGUGAUGAGGGUCUACGGGUCGAAAAACAAUGUAGUUAGGAAAAAACAGAUGUGUAAGUAACUGUGCCAAUCUUAACGGUACCAAAACAGAAAGCCACGCCUAACUACGU